AACGCUGGCGGCGUGCCUAACACAUGCAAGUCGAGCGCGUCUAUUUGAUGCUUGCUUAAUGAAAGAUGAGCGGCGGACGGGUGAGUAACGCGUGGGUAACCUGCCCUAUACACAUGGAUAACAUACUGAAAAGUUUACUAAUACAUGAUAAUAUAUAUUUACGGCAUCGUAGAUAUAUCAAAGUGUUAGCGGUAUAGGAUGGACCCGCGUCUGAUUAGCUAGUUGGUGAGAUAACUGCCCACCAAGGCGA
rnacentral:rRNA from 1 species